GGAAGUGUUAAGGCUGUGAAAUUACGGCUAACAAAAUAGGCAGGUUGGCAGGUGGUGGAGAGAAUACCAAGACCUAGGCUCUCCUGAUCUCCCUGCAUCCCUGUCAUUUUUGGCAAUGUCGCUAAUCGGCCCAGCAGCCCGAAUCCACACGCCCCGGCGUCCGGGCUCUGCAAGGUGCAGCUGGUCUCAGGCCCUGUCUCAGAAUACAGAAGUAAUCAGAAUUUAUUCACGUGGGCCGACUGAGAGUUUUGACGUCAAAGGGCAAUCCUGUCUGAUUGAUACCACUCAAAUGGCAAUAUUGUUUGAAGAAAUGUAGUUAGAGAGAUGGCAAUUUAAAGGCUAUAAGAAGUUACAGGAAAAGAUUUUGUGAAUAGAGACUAUAAAGCACUCCUGUAACCUUGGCCCCAAAGAGGGCUCUCCAGACAGAAAGUUGCCUGCAUGUCCCGGUGCGUGUUUUUGAGUGUGAUACUGUUCUUCACUGCUCUGUCCCAAGAAAUCCAGCAUUGCCUAUGGCAUACCUUCUGAGGAAAGCCUUUGGGGCAAAGAAAUUACAAAAAUGAAGGUGGGGGAGUAUUACAAUUUGUAACAGUCACUUAAGAAUUCUCAACAUGUUUUUUUCAUUGGCUAUAAACAAAACAAGGUAAUACAAGACACCUGUGACCAUGCAAAAAAUAAGAGGCACAGAUGCCCCACCGUUAAAGCAAGCAGGUCACGCAGCAGGGGCAUUCCUGUGGGUGAGCGGCCUGGGAGACCAACAGAGAAGAAUCACCCAGGAGGUAAAACAGCAUUCAGUGAGCAAGAGGCACAGAAGUCUAGGGUGAAAUUGCCAGUGAAACAGCCUUCUCAGAAUGCUGGGAUUUUAGAAAGCACAGCUGGGAAGUUGUGGGCUGGAGAAUCCAUCAGCCUCCCUCGUUGUCUAUCUCUUUCCUUCCUAACUUUCUUGUAUCAGCCAUCAGUGCCACACUGGGUGCUGGGCUUGAGGGGAUAAAAUGGGGAACAUACGCACCCGGUUUCUGUCCUUAGGGGGCUUAGAGUAGAAUGGGGAAGAGAUAAACCCAAGUAAAUAGCAUACAAAUAAAAUAAUUGCCAACUGUGAUAAAGGACUUUGAAGAAAGCAAUUAAAGUUCUGAGUUAGAAGGUAACAUGAGAGUAAAUUGCGUUUCCUAGGGUGGUCAGGAAAUGUUUUUUUGGACAGACUUAACAUAUAAACAGAUCUGUAAGGAGCAGGGAGGAUUUUAAAGUUUGCAGUGGGUAGAGAGGUUGGGAAAGUACUGAAAGAAAGUGGUGUGGUUGGAGAACAAUAUACAAAUGUGACAAUGAAACAAAAUGGAACAAAAGAAAAGGGAAGGCUUGUCAUCAGACGUGGUGACAAGUUCAUUUUGAUCUCUCACCCUCUAUCUUCACGGUCUCUUCAGGCCUCCUAGACUUCCAUUGGAAAGCCCUGGCCUCUUGGAAUUACAGGUGUUGGAAAUCCACACCAAACUAACUUGAGCAGGGAAGGGGAAUUACCAUACUGUGAGCUGUCAGGGUGCAGCUGACCAAUAGAUGGCUGGGGCCCGGGGAUAUGGGCAUCGAGAUUCACUUUUUUUUCUCCUGUGGUUCUCCUUCAUUGUCCAGCAGACAGGCCUUGGCCUGUACUACAGUGGGACAGUGUUUCCAGUAGCAACUGUUUAUCUUCCCAAAUUUGCCACCAGGCAGUGGGGGGCUGUCUUCCCUUACUUCCAGUUUGGCUCAUGCUUGGUGAGAGACUCUGUUUUCCUUGGCUUGGGUCACAUUCCCACCCAAGGAGACAGGGUGCUGCCGGUGGCAGCGUGGGGGAAAGGAGCAACUCCCCUGCAGAUGCCUGCCUGCCUGUGAGGGCGUCGAUAUGAGUGAGAAAGGGUAAAGAGCUGUGAGUAUGUGUAUUGUGAGAUUGUGUGUGUGUGUUUAUGUAGAUGUGUGCAUGUGUAUGUGAGUGUGUAUGAAUGUAUGUGUGUAUGUGUGACUGGGAGAACAUGUAUGUGUGUACAUUUGUGAGUAUGUAUAUAUGUUGAGUGUUAUGUGUAAAAUUGUGUCUCCCUAAAAUUCUUAUGUUGAAAUCCUAGCCCCUAAUACCUUAGAAUUCAACGUUAUUUGGAGAGAGGUCUUCGUAUAGAUAAUCAAGUUCAAAGGAGACAUUAGGGUGGGCUGUAAUCCCAUUAGCUGUUGUCUUUGUAAAAGGGGAAAUUUGGACACAGAGCCACUCAGAGAGGGAAGAGGUCGUGAAGAGACACUGGCAGAAGAUAGCCAUGUACAAGCCAAGUAGAGAGGACUGGAACAGAUCCUUCCCUCACAGCCUCCGAGGAACCAACCUGGCCGACACCUUGAUUUCAGACUUCUGGCCUCCAGAACUGUGUGAGACAGCACAUUUCUGUUGUGGAAGCCACCCAGUCUGUGGUACUUUGUUACAGCAGCUCCAGCAAAUGCACACCAUGAGCGUGUGUGUGACUGUGGGCAUCUGAGUGUCAAUGUCAAUGUAUGUGUAGACUGGGAGUUGCUCUGGUCAUAAAUCUAAAGAUGGCUAUCAUGCUGCUCCUUUUCUUUGCUUAUCCAAUACCACUCACAUUUCGAGGCCUGCCACAAAUCCCCCUCCUUCUUGACAUCUUUCAUGGGUUCUCAGUGCUCCAGGUGCAAUUCUGGCUGCCACCAAUUAAUCGCGUGAUUCAUGGUGACCUUGAGGGAAACAACCUUUCUCAUUAAUCUUUGGGUCCCUGUAUUUGUCUUAUGGCCCAGCAUGUAGUAAGUACUCAAAUAAUAUUUGUUUGCUUCACUUAACCUUCUAUUUAAUUUUUUUUACUGUGAAAUAAAACAAAUGUAGAAAAUUGUACAAAACAAGAGUUUACAGCCCAGUGUUUUAUCACAAAGUGAACAUCUGUGUAACUACUACACAGAGCAAAAAAUACAUUCCUCAGCACUCAGAAAGCCCCUUGCUCUCUGCAUGUCCUCUUCUGGUGACUUUACCUUCCUUGCCCCUGGAGGGUAACUACUACCCUGAUUUUUAUGGUAAUCACUUCCAUGGCUUUCUUUAUAGUUUAGGCACCUAAGUUGCAUCCUAAAUCUCAUAGGUCAGUUUGCUUGGUCAAUAAUAAAAAGGUGUUCAACUUUGCCAGUAAUCAAGAAAAUACAAAUUAAAAGGAUGAUGUAAUAACACCAGACACACAGCAGAAUAACAAAACUUAAAAUGACUGGUAGUAGUGAUGUUAAAAAUUAAAAAUUGCAAAAACAGCUGAGAAUAUAUAUUUAUUUUGGAAAAGUUUGGCAUCAUCUCAAGUUGAACAACAGAAGUGUGUGCAAUGUGCACCCAAGACAUGUUUGUGAAUAUUCCUAGCAAUGUAAUUGGUAAUAAUGGGUUGAUGGAAAAAUCACAUUGUGUUUUUUGUUUGUCACUGUCUGAUUACUAUUGAUAUUGAACCUUCUCAUGGUUCUUGGUCAUCAUGGCAGGGAUUCUUAGUAUGUUUUGAAGUACACCUGCAGAGAUUCCUAUUAGACAUCUAAGUGAAGAUGUCACGCAGGGAGUUGGAUAUAUAUGGAGUUUAUGGGAGAAGUCAGGGGAUGGUGAUAGAAAUUUGGGACCAUCAGCACACAGAUGGUAUGGAAAGCAAUGGAAGAGAUAAGAUGACUUAAGGGAUAUGAGUGCUGAUAGAGAAGAGGGCUGAGGGCUGAGCCUCAAGUGGGAGUGAGAAAUCCAGUAAAUGAGAUUGGAAAGUAACAGACAGUGAGGUAAGAAGAAAACCAGACACAUAUGAUGUUCUAUAGUCCAAGAAAAAAUAUUCCCCAAAGAGGGAGUUAUCAAAUGAUGAUAUUAAAUAAUCAAAUGAUACUGGGAAGUCAAAUAAGACAAAAA